rnacentral:lncRNA from 1 species
AAGACAGGCCUGGCUCAGGGUUGCGACGCUGAAAAACCUCCGCGCGCGUGUGUUUGUUUUGUGUGGAGUGCCGAAGGCAGGCAUCCACACACUGCGAUCUCGGGGGUGAGAUGGGGAAGACAGCUGCCCCGGCGAAGACGAAGGGGAAGGGGAAGGAGCCGCCUGGCACUGAUGUGUACCUGCUCUCUCUUCAGGCAGGCUCCCCCUCACAAUAGGAACCGGCAAGAGAGGGAAGCACUGCGUGGAGUGUACGAGGGAUCCGCCUGGACUUCAACUUACAUCUGAUCUACUCUACACUAAAGGAUGGAUGGAUAGAUGAUGGACGUUGGCUGGGAAGAGAAGAGGAAAGGAAAGGAAGAGAGGAGGAUGGCAGGAUGUUUUCUGGUAUCAGGCAGGUGGCACUGGUCGUGGAGAUCUGGUCUCUGUGAAGGAAGUGAUGAAAAGGAGAAGGUUGAACAAUCCCCCCGCUCUGGCUACCUAGAGGAUCCAGAAGCCCCAGGAAAACGUGGAAGCCGGAGCAGUCUGGGAAGUGGAUUAGGCACGCAGGUGCAGACCUGGGCUGGCGACCAAAGACUAACGUUAAGCGAGAAGACUGAGCGGCUGUAUGCUGGUGUCGGAGCUAUGCUGCCCCGGGAAGCCAGCGAGCCAGGGAGGCAUGAGAACAGGGUGCCCGGGGAGAGUACAGUAGUUUCAGAUCUCGCCGGAAAAACCGUCAGCGGGGCUUGA